GCUCUGCAGAGCGUGGCAGGCGACCUUGGCUCGCGCGUCUCCUCCCUCCGCGGAUGAUCGCGUCUAGGCCACCGCGGCCCAAGCAGGCGACUUCUACUUCAGCCAACCAGCACCGCCCUCCGCCCGGCCCCCUCGGGAAAUCUGCCUCCUCAUUGGCCGCUGGACAGAUAAGCGGGAUGGGAUUGGAGGGUUACCCAUUGGUGGGCUGUAUUGGAAUGCAACUAUUUGAAGUCGAGAUACGCACCCACUAAUUUUGUUGCUUCCUUAAAGAUGAAGGCUUAUGAGAGGAAGAGCACCUUACAGGUAAAAGGCAUGGACCCAUAGUUCAGUUUACAAACCUACUGUGUCCUUAAGACCCUUAGAAUUGUUCUUUUUUUUUCUUUUUUGAGAUUCUUGGAUGGGAAAAGGGCUUGAGUGACUUUUGUGUCCUGAAGCUGUAGUUUUUCUUAAAAGUAUAAGUUUAAAAUUGUGUUUUUUCUUGUCUCUUUGUAGCUAUCAUCGUAUUCUCUACCCUACCUUGAGAACACUGGAAAGCCCUCCCUGCCGGUGCUGUCAGCCUGACUCUUCACCUGGAGCCCACCGCCUUUAGCAGACUGUACCACCAUCACCAUGGCAAGUACCACCUUUCAUUUAGUUGCUGCUGUCUCCAUAAUCUUUUGCCGCCCCACU
rnacentral:lncRNA from 1 species